rnacentral:rRNA from 1 species
AUGUGUAUGCAUUCUGUUGAGGAUUCUGCUGGACCACACAGUAUGGCCGAUGAAGAAGAGGUAUUCAUGGGAAUAGCUAAUGAGUCUAAAGCUCCAAAUGCAAAGGGCCCAACGGUAGGCCCAUCCACAAGCAAAAGAAAGAGAUCCAAACCAAAUGAAAACGAGCAAGAAGCAGAUGCUCCGAAGAAAAAGAAAGGUGGCAAGCAACCCUUCACAAAUUCAGCUCAGUACUUCUCUCAUGAUGAUUACAACACUGCACCAGGAGAAGAUUCAUCACAGAGAAGAAAGCGUCUGCAAAGAAUUCAACGCCACUGGGUGCGCGAAUGGUUUAACUGCAAAAUGAUUCAUCCUCGGUUUGCCAAGAACUUUGCUUUUCAUCCUCCGUGGGGUGACUAUCGUGAGAUUGGUCUUGUUCGUGCAAGUGAUCCCCUGAUACGUCUCCAACGUAUCUAUAAUUUUUUAUUGUUCCAUGCUGUUGUAUUAUCAUUCUUGGUUGUUUUACAAUCAUUUUAUAGUCAUUUUAUAUCAUUUUUUGGUAGUAACCUAUUGACAUAG